GACGAACGCUGGCGGCGUGCCUAAUACAUGCAAGUAGGACGCAGUUGCGAACGGGUGAGUAACGCGUAGGUAACUACCUAUUAGAGGGGGAUAACUAUUGGAAACGAUAGCUAACACCGCAUACUAGUAGAUGGACCUGCGUUGUAUUAGCUAGUAGGUAGGGUAAUGGCCUACCUAGGCAACGAUAAAUAGCCGACCUGCGAGGUGUAUCGGCCACUCGGGGACUGGGAAACGGCCCAGACUCCUACGGGAGGCAGCAGUAGUGAGUCUUCGGAAAUGGGGGGAACCCUGACCGAGCAACGCGGCGUGAGUGAAGAAGAUUUUCGGAUCGUAAAGCUCUGUUGUUAAGGAAGCGGUACUUAACCAGAAAGGGACGGCUAACUACGUGCCAGCAGACGCGGUAAUAC
rnacentral:rRNA from 1 species